CUAAAGAUAUUGGAUGCUCUUAAAAAGGCAAAGAAAGCUUCCCUGCUGAAGCUGAAGCCUUUGAUUUACAUUUCUCUAGCAGGUGGAUUUCAUUCAGAAAAACAGAUUGGAAGAGCACAUGUCUG